UACGGAGGGUGCAAGCGUUGUCCGGAUUUAUUGGGUUUAAAGGGUGCGUAGGCGGCCCGUUAAGUCAGCGGUGAAAUCCCAGGGCUCAACCCCGGAACUGCCGUUGAUACUGGCGGGCUUGAGUUCGGUCGAGGCGGGCGGAACUGGUGGUGUAGCGGUGAAAUGCAUAGAUACCACCAAGAACCCCGAUUGCGUAGGCAGCUCGCUAGGCCGAAACUGACGCUGAGGCACGAAAGCGUGGGGAGCGAACAGG
rnacentral:rRNA from 1 species